GUAUAGCUUAGGGGAAUAGCGUUUGUCUCGUAAACAAAAGGUCGUGAGUUCAAUUCUCAUUAC
rnacentral:ncRNA from 14 species